rnacentral:rRNA from 1 species
UUAAUUGAAGAGUUUGAUCAUGGCUCAGAUUGAACGCUGGCGGCAGGCCUAACACAUGCAAGUCGAGCGGUAACAGGGGAAGCUUGCUUCUCGCUGACGAGCGGCGGACGGGUGAGUAAUGUAUGGGGAUCUGCCCGAUAGAGGGGGAUAACCACUGGAAACGGUGGCUAAUACCGCAUAAUCUCUUAGGAGCAAAGCAGGGGAACUUCGGUCCUUGCGCUAUCGGAUGAACCCAUAUGGGAUUAGCUAGUAGGUGGGGUAAUGGCUCACCUAGGCGACGAUCCCUAGCUGGUCUGAGAGGAUGAUCAGCCACACUGGGACUGAGAACCGGCCCAGACCCCUACGGGAGGCAGCCGUGGGGAAUCUUGCACAA